rnacentral:rRNA from 1 species
AGAGUUCGAUCCUGGCUCAGGAUGAACGCUGGCGGCGCGCCUAACACAUGCAAGUCGAACGGUUAAAGCCCCUUCGGGGGUGCAUAGAGUGGCGAACGGCUGAGUAACACGUGGGCAACCUGCCCCCCGCACCGGGACAGCCUCGGGAAACCGUGGUUAAUACCGGAUACUCCGCCACCCCCGCAUGGGGGCGGCGGGAAAGCCCAGGCGGAGGGGGAUGGGCCCGCGGCCUGUUAGCUCGUUGGCGGGGUAACGGCCCACCAAGGCGAUGAUGGGUAGCCGGGUUGAGAGACCGACCGGCCAGAUUGGGACUGAGACACGGCCCAGACUCCUACGGGAGGCAGCAGUGGGGAAUCUUGCACAAUGGGCGAAAGCCUGAUGCAGCGACGCCGCGUGCGGGACGAAGGCCUUCGGGUCGUAAACCGCUUUCAGCAGGGACGAGGCCGCGAGGUGACGGUACCUGCAGAAGAAGCCCCGGCUAACUACGUGCCAGCAGCCGCGGUAAUACGUAGGGGGCGAGCGUUGUCCGGAAUUACUGGGCGUAAAGGGCACGCAGGCUGUGCUUCAAGUCAGCUGUAAAAGGAUGCGGCUUAACCGUGUUAUGCAGUUGAGACUGAGGUGCUGGAGUACCGGAGAGGCAAGUGGAAUUCCCAGUGUAGCGGUGAAAUGCGUAGAUAUUGGGAAGAACAUCGGUGGCGAAGGCGACUUGCUGGACGGUAACUGACGCUGAGGUGCGAAAGCCAGGGUAGCGAACGGGAUUAGAUACCCCGGUAGUCCUGGCUGUAAACGAUGAAUGCUAGGUGUGCGAGCAGAGAUGUUGGUGUGCCGCAGUUAACGCGAUAAGCAUUCCGCCUGGGGAGUACGGUCGCAAGAUUGAAACUCAAAGGAAUUGACGGGGGCCCGCACAAGCGGUGGAGCACGUGGUUUAAUUCGAUGCAAACCGAAGAACCUUACCUGGGUUUGACAUGUAUGUGGUAGGAGCCGGAAACGGUGACGACGCUGCUUUCGGGUAGUGAGCAUGCACAGGUGCUGCAUGGCUGUCGUCAGCUCGUGUCGUGAGAUGUUGGGUUAAGUC